rnacentral:lncRNA from 1 species
CUUGUCCUCAUCAUCAUCAUGUUGGUCUAUCAGGAUUUACUCACCGGUACACACAAUUUUGACUUUUGUUUUUCUGGUUUUACGAAUGAAUUUGUAGUUCUAUAGAUGUGUGAUCUGAUUGAGUUGCUUUUGCUUUCUGGGCUUGAUUUUUAGUUAUGUAUAACGGGUUUUCGAUAGGGUUUUUGCAAGGUUAAUUUCUAGAUCUGUGUUAGAUUGAAUCUGUAGUUUGCUCUGAGGUGGCCUUUAGUUUUUGAGGGGUUUGAUGGUUAAUUGGAUUCUGAAUUGUUACCAAUGGUUUAAUUUUUCUUUGUUUUUGCUCUUACUGAUUGUUUGUGAUUUGAUUCCUAUUAAAAAUUAAGUCUUUUUUAAAUUUCCGUGUUAAAGAUUAAGUCUUUUUCGCAUGCGCUCGGGAAUUGGUUGAUUACAGAACUUAUCUUUUGGUGCAAAAGGUCAGCGGAAUUGUUUGGUUGUCGCAGUUUUUAGGUGGAUAUACACGUGUUGUUACUAUUGAGAGUGGAUAUCUACCCGGUUUUUGACAUCCCCCUCCCAAAACACCAGUUGGUCUUUCUGCCUAUGAACAUUUUGGAAUGGGUUGGAGAAAGGCUGAUUCUGCUUUGUAACUUGGAUCGGAAGUCUGUGUGAAAUUUCUUUUGUUAUUGAAUUGAUAGAGUGGGACUAAACUUUCUCUUGGAUAUAAAAAGAGAUUUAAAAGAAGGAUUGUGCUCAUUUUAAUUAAUCCGAUUUUGUACUAUUAGCUAUUGCUGAUUAAUGUCCCCUGCUACUUUCUCUUACACCGGCUUUUAAGAGUAUGUUUUGAUUUGUUUUGGUGAAUCUUGUGUUUAACUCUCUUCUUGAUUCACUUCUAUGAUUGUGUAGGUGAUGAGCUUCUCUCGGACUCAUUUCCAUACAAGGAAAUUGAGAACGGGAUCCUCUGGGAAGUUGAGGGAAAGGUGAAAAUUGUUCUCUUUUCUGUUUAACUUGCUUAAUUUUGGAAAAGAUCUGAAUUUCUAUUAUGAUGAUCAUUACUUGUGCAAGCAUUAUGACUUGUCUAUUGUUGGUAUGUUGGCAACCAAUGAGUUUCUUAUUCCAGCAUCUUUUUACCUUACAUAAGAGUAUAAAUGAUUAAGAGUUUUGUAAAGUCUGAUUUACUGCAAAUUUGUAAAUUCCAGUGGGUUGUCCAAGGAGCUGUUGAAGUAGACAUUGGUGCAAACCCUUCUGCUGAAGGUUGUGGAGAGGACGAGGGUGUUGAUGACCAGGCUGUGAAGGUGGUGGACAUAGUUGACACAUUUAGGCUCCAGGUUUUUGUCUGAUUUUACUAUUUGGAUGAGGUUGACUAUUGCAUUUAGGGAAUAUGAAGCUAAUUUAUUACCUUGCAGGAGCAACCUCCUUUUGACAAGAAGCAAUUUGUUGCAUACAUAAAGAAGUAUAUCAAGUUGUUGACGCCAAAGAUAGAUGCAGAGAAGCAAGAGCAUUUUAAGAAGAAUAUUGAGGGCGCAACCAAGUACUUGCUCUCAAAGCUCAGUGACCUCCAAUUGUGAGUGCAACCUCCUUUAAUGCCCCCUCGUUCACUUUCCUUUCUUUUUCUUAUUUUUCUGCCUGUAAUUCUUUGGAAGUAUUUGAUUGUUUGAGCACACUGCAAAUUAGAGUUUUUAUACUAAAUGGUCAAGGUUCACUCAUGUUGACAGUUUUGUGGGGGAGAGCAUGGCCGAUGACAGUACCUUGGUGUUUGCUUACUACAAGGAUGGUGCCACCGAUCCGACUUUCUUGUAUUUUGGCGUUGGCCUGAAGGAGGUCAAGUGCUAGAUAAAAAUAAUGUUGUCUUUGGGCUUUGAGAGGGACUGGUGCUUGCUGUAGUUUUAGUAGUUGUUAUUGCAUUUUUGAUCUGUGUACUUUGCAACUUAUCGAGUUUCCUUGACUAUUAAUGAUUGUUUUUCCUGGAUCAGAGGUAUCUUAUAAUUUACAAAAUUCUCUAAUUAUUCUUGGUAAUGUUACCCGCGCCCAUUAGCGUGUCUUUGUAAAGCUUUUUCUGCCUCCCUUUUAGCUAAUUGGCGUGUUUAGAAAUUAUAAUAUUACUCAGGGAUUGAGUUGAUUGCUCAGGAUUUAUGGUAAGUUCAGAAAAAUCUCAAAGAUUAUAUAUCUCGAGCAUCGGUCGAGUGUAUCUGCAUACUUGUAGAUAUACAUCUAUUUUUAUUUGGCAAAUAUGUCGGCUACACAUUGUAAAGAUCAAACACCUGAUAACCGGUAUAAUGCAGCACUGUGACUAUUAGUCCCAAAAUCUGAGAUCCAGUCUAUGGGAUGCAUUGAAUACAAGUCACAAGACCAUUGGGUUAAUCCUAGGAUGGGCAGGUAAUUUUACGAAGAAAAAGCAAGGUACUUGUAUGAGGGCUUGAGCUCGCUACUAUGUCGAUGAAGAACAGCAAAUGAGACUGCUGCAUCCUAUGUUAAGUGAUGCGCUGAUGGUCAUCUGGGCAGGCAGCCAAAAGCGUGACCCGGAAAACUCGAAACCGCUUUGUCAUAUGAUUGAUCAAGUCUCGAGAGGGAGGGUCCCUGGUGGUGUAUGUUAGGCUUCUUCCUUGGGUGGUGUACUUUAGGCUUCUUCCUUGGGUGGUGAGUUUAACCUCGUAGGAAAGAUGGAAGGCUAUCCAUUACAAUUAGCGUGUCUCUGUAAAGCUCUUUCUGCCUCAUUUUAGUUAAUUUUCAUGUUUAUGGAUUAAGCUUUAUUCAAAUUCUCAGAAAUUAUGGUAAGUGUAAGAAGGAAGAAAAAAAAACUGUAUAUCUUGGAACAGUGAUCGAGUGUGUCGCAUAGGACUAUAAUGUGUCUGCAUACUUGUAAGAUCAAACACCUGAUCACUGGCUACCAAAAGGGUUAAAACAUCCUGAGACUAUUAGUCAUAAAAUCUUAAUCCCAGUCUGAAGGAUGAAUCAAAUCAAAGUUAAAGACCAAUGGGUUAAUCCCAUAGUAGGUUUUUAGUUUUACAAUAUCAUAUAUAAUUAACCCUGUCAGCUAUUAAAAGAAGAAAACAAAUGCUUCUUCCAACAAAAAAUAAAAAUAAAAAAAAGAAGGAAAUACUCUUAUUCUGGCAUGAGCUCACUACUGAUGACUGGAUUGACCAAUUGCUUAAACACUAAACUUGCAGCAUUGAAGAAGAUCAGCGAAUAGAAGAUUACUGUAUCCUUGUAUUCUUUGAUGGUCAUUUAGGGAGUCAGUCAAAAACUUGAUCUGGAAAACUGAAACCUCUUUGCCAUCUGAUUGAUCGAAAAGGAGGGCCUGGGCUUUAGUGGUGUACUUUAGGCUGCUUCACGAUCAUCACAGAGCAGUGAGCAUGGUGGGAGCAGUGAUCGCUGACGCUGCCCAGAACAACCCUGCAGAAUUAACAAGGUUGAGUUCAGGGAUUCAUUGGUACCAUCUUUUAAAGACUUGAAAAUAGGUUCACCUUUUCAAAGCCCCAUAUCCAUGGCUACCGAGAACCAAGAGAGAUGCAUGAUGUUUGUCAACGGCAUCACACAUGACCAUCCUGGCAUCCCCUUCGAUCACUUCAAAUUCUGCAUCUUCCACCUGCAUAGAAAAUUAUGAUUGGCUUAUCGUAAUCAUGCAUCAGGCUCUUAUCAAACUACAGAAACUUUGCACUAUACAAAAAUGAUGCUCAAAAUUUUCAGCUUCCUCACUCCUUUUUCCUUGCAGAGCUCCUUAGCUUGCUCGAUAAGCCUUUCAGCUGUCCUCUUCAGGUCGGCUUCCACAAGUGGUAGCACGUCCGUGGAUCCUACAAGCAAACAAAAUCUUGUUAAUGCAAACAAGAGCAUGCCUUAAUGCCUAAAAGUUUAUUCGAUUGUAUGCAUGAAAAUGAAAAUCUGUCAGAUGAAAGGGUUACACAAUUGACAAGCUUCCUUUUAUCUCUGAAAUUUUAUGAAAAGAAAAGAGGUAAUAUUCAUUUACCAGGUCCUGCAAGUCCAAUGACAGACGUAGGAGGAUAUUUGGCAUGGACAAUAACGAGCUUGAACAGGGCAUUCGAUGUAGGAGUAAAGAAAUGCUCAAGGGUCCACUUAAGAGCAUAAAAGCUAUGCUCACUAUCAUCAAUUGCAAGAAGCAUCACUUGUUUCCCACCCGCCAUUGUUGUUUAUUUGUUGAUUAAUUUGAUGACUUCAAUCAGUCUUCUCGUUGAAUGGAAAAAGUGCUGAGUAUGAUUUAUGAAUGACCUGAUCGCAUCCCAUUUGAUCAUUUAUAUAGGCAUUCUGGGAUCCGCAGGCUGUUAGAUUUGCAACGACGAUGUCCUUUCCCAAUCCGUUGAAUUCGGAUUGAAUGUCGGAAUUUCGCGACGAGUGACGGAGUUCUUAAGGAAACCAAUUUUUUCUCCUGAAGACUUGGUCUCUGUCCAAUGCACGGCAGAUAAACCAGGCAAAGUUUGUUGUACUGUUGUCCUUCAAGUUCCUGGUCAACUAGCUCUUUGGGUUUGUUUUUCCGUUUUAACCAUCUUUUUUUUAAGCAUCAAUGAAAAGAAAGAUGUUGCAUUCAGUUCCUACAAAUUCUGAUGUUUCAAUUUAUUGAACUCUUUUUUUUUUUUUUUUUCUUUAGUGAAAUGUUCCCUGUUUCGUUUCUGGAUUUUCUCUUUUUUACCUCUGUCUUCACAUAACAGAGCAUCUUUAAUGAAAUGUAAUAUACUACUUGCUAUAUUUGCUGCAAGGCCUUGGAGAAUUGUUUGCUAUAUUAAAAUUAAGUUGCAUUUGUUACAAAUCGUCAAAUUGAAUGGAUUUUUUCAAAUUGUUAAACCUGUAUAAAUCGAUUGGAAUUGUCAUCAAACAUAAUAUACACUUUUCCUAUCUAUUUUAUUUAUGCGUUAAUACUUGCUUUUUAUUACAACAAAUUUUUUCCUUUUAUUAACCAGCAAUGCAUUAAGAUGCUCUUUAUAAUAUAUUUACGCAUGACACUUAACUCAUAAACAAUCUUUCAAAUUUUGUUACCUUUAAACACUUUAGAGUGGGUAGACACAGCCAGGCCUUACUAGUAUAUAUAAUAUACGUAUAUCUUCUCACACAAAAUUGGAGAGAAGACCAGAGAGGGCCUUUAUAUUCGUUACGUGUUGGGUUGUGUAAUCAACCCCCCAACCUAUUUAUGUUCACCCUUGUCUUUGUAUAUCUUACUUGGCCUCCAACUUAUUUUGUCAAAAGCAAAAAUUCACUCUUAUUUAUUAAUUUGCAGAAAAUCAUCCUACGUGACCAAAGAAUUUCGCUGCCAUGGCCGCGACCGACGACGAUCUUGAAUCUAAAAGGGUAGUUUUAACAGUUUCAACGACCGUGACUUCAAAUUCGGACGGAGUAUGCAUAUUCCAUUCAAAUAUACUCGGACAAAUUGUUUGGAUUGCAGUUUUCUGUCGAAAAAUUACGUUAUUUUUCGUAAUCAUAUUUCUCUAUUACCUUUUUCCCUCGCAUACAUCAAAUCGUUACGGUAAUUUUUCCAUGAAAAAUCAUGGAAAAUGCAAUCCAUACACAACAAAUUUCUUGUUACUUUGUCGGACAAAAUUUAUUAUUUUCUUCAAUCAGUCCCUUCUUAGUUUCCGCAAUCAAGUUACAAACCAUCUGUAAGUAGAAAUCCUCUCUUCUGCUGGCUUAAUUGUAAUUACCAUUUGAUAUCAUUAGAUGUUUCCAUUUCCAUUAGAUAUAAUCAGAUAUUUCCAAGAAAAUUGGGUUCUAUUCUCAUGUAUUUCAUCUGUAUCCACCGGUAUUCAUUGAUUAAUUAUUCAACGCCAUCAUGAUUGCUUUGUCAACUUGGACUAUGAUAUCCUAAUUUCAGAUUACGCCACAUGCAGAGCCUAAUAACAGAUGCUCACCUUGUGAGAUCCAUCAUAUAUUAUUAUAACCCAAGUUUUGAUCUUAUGAAUAAGCUAAUUAAUAACUGCAAAUAAGGCCAUUAGUGUUAAUAAUAUAUACCAGCACUGCAUCAUUGCUAAUCUUUGGGAAGUUGGUGCAUCAUAGCUUAUAGCGCACAGGGUGGUGGGAGCUAAUUACCAGCUAAAGAGUCUCAGUGGAUGGAUGAAACCAACUUUCAUUCAAAUUGCACUCUUAAUCGUUGAAUCUCAUCAACCCCACCCCACAUACUUUAAGUAAAAGCAAGGCUUUUUUUUUUUUUUUUUUUUUGCAAAAGAAGUGUACGGCAAGCCAUGAUAAGUUAGGUAAUUUAUAUGCACAUCUUUGUAUACUUGGAUUCAAAAGUGCUUAAGGCUCCACGUUUGAAAUACGCAAGUAUGCAUCAUUCUUCUUCUUUGUUGCCCACCUAAUCAAACUCGUCCAAGAAGACUUCUUUUCUUUUUGUCUAAUUGAAGUGGCUAGGUUGAUUUAAAAAGAACAGAAAAUUCUCAGUUAACUUUGAUCCAUGUAAAACUCAUGUACUAAACCUUGCGCAAUGUAGAUUAGAUUAGUUAAGUACAACACAUAAACCGUUAACGUUGACACGAUAAGUUUACAAGAUGCUAUAACAUUUAGUGAAAAGACUUUGGACAUGUAUUAAAGAUAAUGGAAGAAUAGAGCAUAUUGAGGAAUCCCUCAUACUUUCAUAUAUUUUUUUCCACUUAGGGGGUGUUCCAGCCUUUUUUUUUUUUUUUUUGCCAGACUAAUCCCCUUAAACCCAACAGAGCCCUAUCCAAGGAUGUUAGCAAUUUUACCACAGCGAAGGUCGAACACGGGAUCUUACCGUAAAGACGGACUUAUCAGUCCUCGUGGGUGCUCGUACUUUCAUAUUUAGUACAGCUUGAUUUGUGUGUGGAAAUAGCUAUGAUCAAGAUUAUCAAGAUUUUCAAUUCAGAAUUUUCGAAAAGAAAAGGCAAAAAUUAUUUGAACAGCAACAUAGGCAUCAGACUAGCUGCAAAUUGCAUUUCUGCCAAACUUCUCAUAAUAGUUGCAUGUGAUGGAAAUGUAGCACCUCCUGUCCUGCCAACCAACUCAUUGGAUUAGGACGGAGGGCUGCCACUAUUCGGGUGGUUCGCAUUAAUUAACUUCAAUCAACUUGGAAUUAAAUUGACCAUUAAUUUAUACUAGUAUGUACUACUCCUUUGCCAUGAAUGCACACACUAUCACUAUGUAUAGAGAAGAAAAGAAAAAAGAAAAACAAAAGAAUAAAAGAUAGCAAGAAACUGAUUAAGGAUCUUCCUAAAUAUAGAAUAUAGUCUAUCUGAGAGGCCGGCAGUCAAAAGCAUCUUGCAAACCCCUAGCGUCCAUUUCCACCUAAAACAUUUAAAUAAAGGAAACUCCUAGUCCAUAUCAUAUUACAACCUCAGAAUGAGUACAGAGUUGUUCAGAUUUUCUUCCUUGUAAUUAUAUACCAAUUGUCUCCCGAAAACAAGAACUUGGACACGAUUCUGUUGACUAUUACUACAAUCAAAUUUACUAACUUUUGCCUUGUUGAAUCAGCCCUUUUUUUUUUCUAAUCGUGAUUCAUUGUAAAGGGUCCACUCCAUUCCAUUGUAGUACAUCUGCAAGGUUCUUGGAUAAGGAAGCGAAUUAAGAUGACGAAGGUUCUUGGGAUCAGACAUUGCAUUGCCAAGAGAUCAGUGCUUCAGUUGCUUUUACACUAAAAUCCAGAGACCGCCUCACGUGUAUACUAUUCAAGUAAUUAAACAUCAAGAAUUGUUAUAGAUAAGAGAGUUCCACCCAACCAUGCCACCAAACCCCCCCCCCCCCAACCACAAAAACAACCUCCUACAAAACCCAAAAAAGAAAAAAGAAAAAGCGAAAUGGGUUCUAAGUUCCAACUUCUGAGCCGUGCAUAAUGUAUAGGUUUACAUAUUGAGCAGGCUGGCAAGCUUAAGAGCAUGAGUUGUCUGAUAAAACAUAAAUAGGUUCAAGAAAAAGAUAAAGAUCCCAUUAGGUUCUUUAGUUACGAGUCUUGGGUGGAACUCAAUGGCAGAAUUUCGCAUUUAUAACUGUUUUCCUUAUUUAAUUUGCCCAAUUUAUUUACCAGCUCUUUGAGUGGAGUUCACACAUCGAGGUUCUUGUUUGUUCUAUUUUGUGGGGUGGGGCAUUGACGCAUUGUUGAUAAGAAGAAGAUGAAUUUGCAUAUUCGAUUUAUCUAAACAGCAGAAAUGAAAAGUAAACCACCUCUUUUUGCUUUCUGAUUUUAACAUAGUAUAGGGUUAUUUUGUGGUCUUGGCAAGAAGUUAUUUAUUGUCUUCUAGCAUCUUUGUUUAUUUGGACCAUCAAUAUCCAUGGCAUUCAUUAGUGUUUAUGUAUAUAUAAUUUUUUGUCAGAUAAGAACUAUAAAGAGAGACCGGAGGGGGGGGGGGGGUUUCUCAAAAUCAAGAAAUGAUGAUAUUUUUAUGGUGGCAUCCGAAUCAAAUAGAUAUUUGAGCAUUUUUUCAACUAAAACCUGAAAAUAUCAGUCAGCCACAUACUAUAACAUGCUAAUAAGGUUCCAAAGAAAAAAAAAAAAGAAAGAACAGGAGAAUAUCAAAAUUUGAGUAUUUACAGUAGGUACUGGUGGAAUCAAGAAAGCGAUAAAAGUGGGAGUUGAUAUGUUUGAUAAAACUAAAAGUGGACAAAAAAAUGUCAUCACUCUGCCUAGUUACCUUGCCUUGAAAAUAAUGGGACAAGUCAGGUCAAUCAUCCCUGGCUGCUGCAGUGACGACAAGAGAAUCAGACUGCAUGCAAGUUUGAGCUAGCUAAGGGUAAAUUGUCUGCUGCCUCCAACUCCGAGAGUUAUAGAACUAUGCGUAUUGUACACUGUGCCCCAUGCCCAUGCCACAGCUGGUUUGGUCAGAGAUGCAGGAAAAUUACUCAGAUCUGUUUCUGAGAACAAUAAUGCCACAAGGGCACUAAAAUACUCUCUCUAUUUCACUAGCUUAGUUUAACCUACCCAAAAGACAAAAAAAAAGGGGUUUAGUUUAACUUGGUGUUCACAUAAUAGAACUGUAGUAUAAGAUGGGUAUAUUAAAAGGUGGAAACUUUUCUUGGCACAUUAAAAGGGUUUGAUGUCUUUAAAAGGGGGGCUACUGAUGCCUUCAUUUUCCUAUCUUAUUACCAGCUUGUAAUCAGGAAAGUGCUGAGAAUGGAAUGUCCAAUUUUUCUCCAUGACUUUGAUUAUAGUUUUUCUUUAUAGCACAAGCUUCCAAUCAAGGCAGCAUCCCAGAAGCUAUUCAAAACUGGGGAGGCCAUUUUGAAAAAUACAUCACUUGAAGGCAUGCAUAGUGGUUGAGAUUAAUGUCUCAGAAAUUCAAUUUAUUGGACUCAGAAUUUCUCUGAGUUCCUCUCUGCUCUUUAAAUCUAACCCUUUCCGGAGCUUUCAUUUUGUUUUAGUUUGCACCCAUUUUAUAAAAUCUUGCAAAUGGUAAUUUUUAGCUUUAUGGAGAAAAUAAGCAAGCAGGGUAAAGACUAAAGAUGUCAUUUCACAUACUCAAAUAUAGCCGUUUCAGUUUUCCCUUUUUUUUUUAAAAAAAAAAAAAAAAAAUCACCUUCCAAUAAAUACCUCCAACAAACGAGAUAUAUGGGAUUAGAAUAUAGAUUAUAGAUUAUACAGAUAUAAUUUCUCCAUCAGAACUUGCUUGUGUCUCCGGCUUGUGAUAAAAUACUAACCUCAGUUUCUCUCUGUUUCUCAUCCCUCCAAAGCAAUCCCAAAAACACGCACAACACCCACUCAAUUUCAUACACUUCAAAUUCUCUAUAUUUUCUUUACACCAUCAAGUUAGGGUUUUUUGCUCAUUUCUCCCAGAUCUAUUCCCCCAGUUAGCCUGAUUCAUUCCCCCAGAUCGCACAAUUCUCACUCUUCUCCGGCAUCCGGUGAUCUCCCUGUCCCCCGCUUUCGCUCCCUUUUUUUUUUGCGUCAUCUGUUGCGAAAUUUAUGCUUAGAUAUCGAGAUUCAAGAUAAGGUUUUUUAUUUUAAUUUCUGCUACCUAACAUGCAUUGUGGAAUUGAUCAUUUCUAGGGCGGAUUUUAACUCCGAUUAAUCUCAUUUCUGUGAUCACCGGCGAAAUUUCUGAUUUUGAAUUGGAUUUUGGGCGUUUCAAUUCGUUAAUGUGCCGCUUUGAUUCGGACUUUUCACCUCACUGUAAGUAAAAUUUAGCAUUUUAAAAAUUUUCUUCGGUUUUGGCAGAUUUUUAAGUGUUUUUAGGAAUUUAGCGGUGACUUGUAUUACCUUUUUUUUUUUUUGGUGGGAAAGCUUUGGGAAUUAGAUCUUGAAAAUUGGCUCCUCAGCGGCGAUCACAGCGCCACAUGGGUGGCCAGAUGCAGCAGAGCAACGCUGCCGCCACUGCUCUGUAUGAUCACCCCGGCAAUGGGGGCCCCGCCAGCGGUGAUGCUGGAGACGCCGUUAUGGCGCGGUGGCUUCAGUCUGCCGGGUUGCAGCAUCUGGCCUCUCCAUUGGCCUCUACUGGUAUUGAUCAUCGGCUCCUUCCUAACCUUCUCAUGCAGGUGCUUUUCUACCUAUAAUGUCUCUUCAAUUCUCAGCUUUCUAAAUUUCAAGGAAAUGUCUAAAAAGAUUGAACUUUUGUAUCGAACCAAAAGAAAGUGCACUGACUAAUUCUUUUUAGAAUCAGGUGCUUCGAUUGGUAUUAUCUGGGCAUUGAGGUUUUCAUACCUGAAACUUCUACUUAGAUUGAGAGUCUGUUAUUUAUGCUUUCACCUUCGAUCUUUGAAGUUAAAUGAUAUUUGAUAUGAGGACUCGCCAGAUUUUGCUUCAGAAUAUCUUAUUGUGUUUUCAUGAUUUUUUCCCCCUUUUUUUUGGGGGGAGGGGGAGGGGAAGGGAGAGGGAGGGAGAUAGGUCGCUUGAUAUCUUUUGAUGGUUCCUGGGUUUUCGUUAUCCUCGUUUGAUAAAUGGUAACUCGUACAGUUUCUUUCGGAAAUUGCUUUGUGUAAUUGGCUUUAUUUAAGGACAUUUCAUAGAAAUGAAAAAUCAUAUACUUUUGCAUUUUGCAUUUGAUAUGGAAGAAAUCUAAUUAUCAAAAAAAGAAAUAUCAAGUGCCAAAUCUUAUAUUUGCAUGUAUUUAUCCUAUCAGUUUAGCUAUAUUAUAUUAGUUCAUGAAUAACUGUAGAAACUUGAUAUUGUUUAAAAGGGCUAUGGAGCACAAUCUGCAGAAGAGAAACAAAGGCUAUUUAAACUAAUGAGAAACCUGAAUUUUAACGGUGAACCUGGUUCUGAGCCGUACACUCCUACCUCCCAAAGUUUGAGUGGGUUUGCAGCAUCAGAUGGCUUUUAUUCUCCUGAAUUUAGAGGGGAUUUUGGUGCUGGCCUUUUGGACCUACACUCUAUGGAUGAUACAGAGCUCUUAUCUGAGGUUUGAUUCUUAUUUAUCUGGUAUUCCUGAGUUUCGAAUUUGAUACAAUUGGGUGCUUCCUGCUGUACAUUCACUUGUCAAAGGGUUUGGAAUGAUAAUGUGCCAUUUUGGUUAUUUUAAAUUGUUAGUUCCCUUUAUAUGAUUUGGGAUGUUGGGCAUUUAUUUGAUAAGGGAUCUUUAGCAUUUACUCUCAGUUUUAGACAUCUUGUUUUUUCCUCAGUGCAAGUUAUUUCAAUGGAGAUUCUUAUUUGUUGAUCAGGUUUCUACACUAUGGCACAUGAUGACAUAUAUUAGAAUUACAUUCAAAUGAGGAAUUACAACAUGUCAGAUAUGUUUAUGAAAUUCUUUUGUGAAAGAAAAAUUAUGAGAUACGCUUUCACAUGAUUUUGGCUUUUGAGUAUUAGCUUCCUUGUUUAAUUUAGUGGCUAUCUAAAGACAGUUAAAUUUGGCUAUCUAAAGGCAGUUAAAUUUUAUGUGUAGAUUUACUAAAUUGUAAAUGUAGUCAUUUAUAAUCAUCUGGCAUGGUUAUGAAUUCUGACGUUGCUGUGAUGACAUUAUACUGCAGAAUUUGGGUGUGUAGUUGGUUGUUCAUAUCUAUUUGCUGACGGCUAAUACAUACUUAUGGUUGGUAUCUUUGAUUUCCUCUUUCAGCAUGUCAUUUCGGAACCAUUUGAGCCGUCACCUUUCAUGCCAGCUGUGAGUAAAGCAUUUGACAGUGAUUUUGAGGUGAUACCCAGUCAGCUUCAAAAAGGACAAACUGAUGCAGAUGUUCCAUCUGGAUUUCUUGCAAGUGAAAAAGAUAUAAACACAAGAGAAAACAAUGUGGCUAAGAUUAAAGUUGUGGUGCGUUGUUCUUGUUGCAAAACACUCUCCCCAACAUCCCUCUGUGUCUAUGCGUGGAUUUGUGUUUGGGUUUCUUUGUGUAAUUGGUGGGGUACAGAGUAUAUAUUUGGGCUACUGGUUUGUUGAUGGGACAUGGCAUUUAUGUGUGAACAAGAGUGUGAGCUGUCAUUUUGUUUUUGGUUUGGUCUGUAAAUUCAAGACCUGCUAGGAGCUGUGUAAGCCUUCGUAUUGUUGCAAGAGUUGUUGCUUUUGUUCUAUUUUUCUUCUACCAACCAUUUUCUAUGUGGCCUCAGUUUAAGCAUGACAAUGUUGCAUUUGCUGCAGUUCUUCUAUAUGUACACAUGUAUCUUUUAAUGCUUUUUCCAUCAGAAAGUUUAAUUACUAUUUCUUCUUGGGAUGUUGCUAAUGCAAACUUUCUAUGUUCCCAUCUGCUAAGAGAUUGGAAGUAAUAUCUUCAAAUGUGGGUUGCAGUGACAUAUACUUCCUUUUACGCUUCUGUCAUAUGCAAUUGCUGCUCAUGUGUUUAAUCAGAAAAAAGGACACACAUCCAUUUGUUACAAUCCUAAGAGUGUUGUCUACGUAAGUUGGACUGGAUGUCACAUUGAAAAGUUUAUUGUCAUUUCAAUUGUUUGAAAGUUUUGAUUUAGUAUUUGUUGAUCUAUUUUACCUCAUCUUCUGAUGAAGAUAUCCAACAAUCUCAAUACCAUACCAUAAAACUUCUCUUUCUUCCCGAAUUUUUAACUGAAGCAUCCAUAGAACCCUCCAUUUUUUUUUGUGGACACUAAAGAUCCUGUUAUUCCCAUGGAAUUCCCAAUUUGAAGUACAUUCAAACAAAAGGUUGGAAGUUUAUGGAGCUACAACCCCCUCUCUUAUAUUUUUUCUAAUAAAUACUUUUCAUCUACCAUAAGUACAUUGUUUAUGAUGCCUAAUCUUUGGUAGUAUUUCUUAUGAAAUAAGAUAACAUAAAAUUCUUGUACAAUAACAAUUUGCAGCAGAGAUUGAGUUUUAUUGCUGUUUUUAUGUAUACUGAUCUAUUUUGCCACUCUUUGCUGUUCUUGUGACAGGACAUUUCAUCUUAUAUUUUCAUGUUUGUCUUAGGUGCGUAAAAGACCUUUGAACAAGAAGGAAAUUGCUCGUAAAGAAGAUGACAUUGUAACUGUACAUGAGGAUGCUUAUUUGACUGUUCAUGAACCGAAGUUAAAGGUAUAUAUCUCAACCAUUUAAAAAUGAUGGCUUCAUAAUUUUUUACCAUGUCAUAGGAAAUUUAGGAUGAUGAAAGCUGAAUAUAAAAAUCAUGUUUCUUUCAUUUUGCUUUCUAGCCGCAUUAGUUAUGACACUAUCCAUAAUUUUAUUUUGAAGGUUGACUUGACUGCCUACGUUGAGAAGCAUGAGUUUUGUUUUGAUGCUGUUCUGGAUGAGCAUGUGACAAAUGACGAGGUAACACCCUUGAUGUUUGGGUAGCACAAAUUAGCCUUGAAUACUGCAUUGCUCUGAAAUUUCUGUGAAGAGAGUUCCUCUCUCUCUCCCUCUUUUUUUUGGGUUGGAGGGGGGGGGGUUGUAGUAAUUGUGAAUUUGGUUCAUAAAAGAAAAAAAAAAGUCUUUUAUCGUGCCUCUGUGCUGCUGUACUUAGGUGAUUCUCUCUCUCUCUAAUUGUGUGAGUCUUCCUUGGGGGUCAUCUGCGUGUCACUAGUAUGUAUUCUGCAUUUGUAGGCUGGGAAGUAACUGUUUUCAUUUUUGCAUCUUCUGUAAUAUGUCCACUUUUGUUUCUUUGACCCUUGAAGGUUUUAAGCCUUCUUUCUGUCAAUUGGAUCAGGUAUAUCGAGUCACUGUAGAACCAAUUAUUCCUACCAUCUUCCAGCGGACAAAAGCCACAUGUUUUGCAUAUGGCCAGACAGGUACUUUCUGUCUCUUUUGUUGGAUUGUUGGUUAUGAUCUUGUCCAUCGGCAACUUCUUAUGUUAAAAUGGUCUGAAUGACACAUAUUUCCUUACACCACCUCUCCUUAGUCAACUGUUGAGGGUGCAUGAUAGUUAGUUUCCUGUAGUUAUAGUGGUUUUGUGGACCUUUCUCUGAAUCAUUGACUAGUCAUGGGCCUCUGUUCAUUCUAAUCGUGUUAGAUACUACUAAAUUACAUUCUUCUCUCUUUUCCUUUGUGAUUUCUUCAGGGAGUGGCAAGACAUACACAAUGCAGCCAUUACCUCUUAGAGCUGCAGAAGACAUUGUUAGAUUGCUGCAUCAGCCAGUUUAUCGUAAUCAGAGAUUUAAGUUGUGGCUCAGCUUCUUUGAGAUAUAUGGCGGAAAACUUUUUGAUCUUCUCAGUGACAGGAAGUUAGUACUCUCUUUGGCGUUGUUAGGUUUCUUGCUUGAUGCAACAAUCAUGAGAAGUUCUCCAUUUAAGUGCUUGAUAAUGGUGAUGUUUGCUUGUUUUUGGUUACUCAUUUUCUUGUGCAAAUGCAGAAAACUGUGCAUGAGAGAAGAUGGACGACAACAAGUUUGCAUUGUUGGACUACAAGAAUUUGAAGUAUCUGAUGUCCAGAUUGUUAAAGAAUUUAUUGAGAGGGGAAAUGCGGCGAGAAGUACAGGUUCUACUGGUGCCAAUGAGGAAUCGUCGCGGUCACAUGCAAUAUUACAACUUGCUAUCAAAAAGCAUAAUGAGAUUAAAGACUCCAGGAGGAACAAUGACGGAAAUGAAUCCAGGAGCGGGAAGGUUGUUGGGAAGAUUUCUUUCAUUGAUCUUGCUGGUAGCGAGAGAGGUGCUGAUACAACGGACACUGACCGGCAAACACGGUAAUAAUUCCUGAAACUACUUUUGUUUUUUUGCAGAAUAGUGGGAAAUGUGUUUACAAGACUUGUCAUUCAAACCUUCUGCCGCAUGGGCAGGGAGUUGGAUCUCAGCCAUUUCCUCUUGAGUUUGAUCCGAUUUAACAUUCAUUUGGCUUUAUCUUUGACUUACCAAUGAGAAUGCCUUCUUAUUGCCUUGAUUAUGAGUGCCUAAAGUAGUACCUCGUCUUCAGAGAUUAGUUAUUUUUUCUUUGUUAAUUGCUUUCUGGCUAAAUAACGUAUUUUCUUCUCAAAAAAAAGUCUCUUCUUCUCUCUUACUUCUUUUUGAUGCUUCAAACAAAGUGUUUUACUUAGUUGAGCAAUUCUUCUUGUUUGUAUCACGUUAACUCAUUAUGUGCUUAAAAUAAGCUCCACUUUUGCACUCAAACGCUACUUUUAUUCUGUUUAAGGAUUGAAGGAGCAGAAAUUAACAAGAGUCUUUUGGCUCUUAAGGAGUGUAUUCGUGCCUUGGACAAUGACCAGAUCCAUAUUCCUUUUCGUGGGAGCAAACUUACUGAGGUGCUCCGUGACUCCUUUGUCGGCAACUCAAGGACUGUUAUGAUAUCGUGCAUUUCUCCUAAUGCUGGUUCAUGUGAACACACACUCAAUACAUUGAGAUAUGCUGAUAGGUAUCGUCAUCUCUUUGAGAUUUUUUUCCUUUUUUUGUGUGGUGGUGGGUAGGACCAAAUUUGAGUUAUAACAUAACAGUUUACUAUGUCACUAAAGCUCAUCAUAUGAACAGGGUUAAAAGUCUCUCCAAAAGUGGAAAUACAAAAAAGGAUCAGGGUUCAAGUUCAUUACCACCUUCCAGUACUAAGGAAUCCUCAUCAGCACCAUUUUCUUCUUUCUCUGCUGAUGUAGAGGAUUUGGUGGACCAACAUCAGGAAUCUAAAGCAGUGGAUAACAGAAGGGUUGUACAAAAGGAAUUUACUUCUUACAAUUCUUCAAGUGAUGUUGAUAAACAACCUUCUAGUUUUACAUCAAAUUAUACUUCUGGACUGGAGGAAAGUACAGCAACUUCCAGUGCUCCCGACAAGGAGAGGUCUGAUAUGAAAAACAGUCAUGGUGGUUCAAGUCAGAAAAUUAACUUGACAUCAUUUUCCCAAAUUGCAGCUGAUACAGAAGAGAAAGUGCAGAAAGUUUCUCCUCCACGUCGAAAGGUGUAUCCUCAGAUUCCAGUCGAUACAGAAGAGAAAGUGCAGAAAGUGUCUCCUCCCCGUCGGAAAACAUAUAGGGAUGAAAGGCCCGAAAAACUGGGAAAUUGGCCAAGAAAAGAUGCUGCUAAUUUUGAUUCGUCGUCUAGCUAUAAACAACAAAAUGUGAAUAUUGCCGACACAAAUGGUGUUGGGUCUAAGCAAUAUGAGCCUGAGCAACCUCAUGAAGAUAGUAUCAAUGAGAUACUUGAGGUUGGUUUCUGUUGUGUGCUUAAGCAAACUCCUUGUGCAUGUUGAGUAGUUUUUUCUAGUAGAUGCUGAAAUGGUAGUUUCACUGUUUUGAUUGUGAAGGAAGAAGAGGCCCUCAUUGCUGCCCAUAGAAAGGAAAUUGAAGACACAAUGGAGAUUGUUCGUGAAGUAAGUGUACUUUCCAUGCUGCUUCUGACUUAUGCUUGCACCUCGUGGAUUCUUAUAGUGUAAAAUAGUAACUUUACUGAGCGCAUAUGCCAGUUGAAAUGUCUGGGUGUGAAAGAAAGGUUUGAUCUUUGUAGAGAGAUGCUUGUUAGUGCCACUGCUUAUCAGCCUAACUUGUGCUCCUGAUUUCAGGAAAUGAAACUACUCGCGGAGGUGGAUCAACCCGGAAGCCUAAUUGAUAAUUACGUGACACAGUUGAGUUUUGUGCUUUCACGUAAAGCAGCAAGUCUGGUCAGCCUACAGGCUCGUCUUGCCAGAUUCCAACAUCGUCUGAAGGAACAAGAAAUAUUGAGUAGAAAGCGGGUGCAUCGCUAAGGGGUAAAUAUCUUGUAAAUGUCAUGACCCGCAUCUACUUUAUAUCCACUGACUUUUGCAUGUCACAAUUUGGUACAGCUGAAAAGUACUUGUCAAAUAUGUAUCAAUGUGGACAUUUAUGAUUGUCAAGAAUGGCAUCAGCAGUGCAGUUGCAUCAUGCACUUGGAUAAACCACAAGAUCUUCGAAAGUUGCCUAGUGCACUGGUUGCAGAGGACGGAGUGACGUGGUCAUUGCAAUGUUGAGACGUUUAUAGGCUUUGUUGUAACUCAAGUUGUAUAAGCUGAGGCUUAACAUUCAGAAUUGCUGGCUCAAACAAUGAUGCAAGAAAUCAUAUUCGUAGGUGGUGUUGGUUGUAUAGAGAAUGUAUUCCAAAAUGAGUGAUGUCUUCUUUCGUUGGUGGGUUUAUGGGACUUCUUGUUUGAUGAUUGUUGAAAUGAUUUGGAGACGUACGCUUUGUACUGAAAGGGAUAAUCUUCUCAUUUUUCGGGAGUAUACUUCACUCUUUACCCACUUCCAAAUCCUUUAUUUCCCCUCCGUUUAUGUUUACUAAGAGCCUGUUGACAGAAGAAUCUCGUCUCGUUUAUACCCGUAGCGAAAAGAGGGCUUGUGAAGCACUAAAUCUGAUUUGCGAGUUGGAAUACAGGUGUAGACGUAUUUUUUGUUUUAAGCCAUAAAACUCGGUAACGUCCCAAUCCCUGUUUGGAUCCAACCGCACCCAAACAGCUACAGGCGAUCUGUCAGCAGACGGGGGAGGGAAAGGAAAGAUAUGAAUGCGCAAAAAAUCCCUCCGUAAAUGAAUGCAAGUAUACGGGGAAAAACAGACAAGAUUAACAAUAUGGAGACCUGAUCCUGCAGUAUACAUGCCUUCACAUUCUAAGCCAAAAAAAAAAAAUUGGUGCAGACCACUAUAGAAUCAAUCCAAUUUCCUAGUGAAACAAGGGCCCCAGAGAUUACAUCUCCGAUGAAGGUAACCUUUACUCGGCGCACCAAUAAUAGGCAGUCACUCAGAGAAGAUGACCAGCAUCAAAACCACAAGCUCCCAAACAAAACCAUACCAGGAAAAGAAAAAAACCAAAAAAAAAAAAAACUUGAUAGCUGUCCAUUUGCCUCACGUGUGGGGAAAAAGGUUACCAAACUCUUGGGCAAAGAUAAAAUGCCACGUCACUCGUACCAGGAUGUCAAGUGAUGUCAUUUUUUUGUUUUAAUCUGUUCAUUCCUCGUUCUCCAGCAUUUUCAUGCAUAUCCAUGAUCUGUCAAUUAGCAAAUAUACAGCAUCCAGAAUGAUCACUCAGCUUUUGACCUCAAAAUCUCUAAAGCGGUCCUCAGCCUAAAGUAUGGCAUGUGUUCCUACAGGCAAGAAGAAAACACAAGUUAGAAAGAAGAGCCCUUUCAAUCUAAAGCUAAAGCAGCAACUACGACAUUUGGAGAUAUUAAAAGCAGUAAUGAAUAACAUGCUUAAGUCCCUAGUAAACCUCGUCUCCCCCACCCAUACCUCGAUCUUUGACAUACAGAUGCACAGAAUAACGAAAAAGCUUAAUAGACAGAGAAAGCUCAAUAGACAGACAGAUUACAAAUUACCAAACAAUCAAGACAACCUGUUCUGACAUUAACCACUGGGUAAACAUGGCAGCUAAAGGCAUCAACUAAGCUUCAGAAAUUUCCAUGAAAUGCUGUCCAAUCCUACUAAUGUUACAAUAAUACACAACCAAAUCUGCUAAUGGUACAACCGGAAGUAAUAAACACUAUUUUCACUUUGUUUUUUCUUUGGCCCAUGAUAACUCUGUCCUUUCUAGUUAAUUAUCUCACCAAUUCAGUGUCAGCUAACUCUCAUCUGACAUAACAUACACCCCUGAUCCCUUCAUAAACAGACGACAUACAACUAGAGACAUGAAUGCUCCAUGGAAUAAUAUGUUAUGGCUAUCUCAACACCGAACUACGACAGCAUCACAGAGAGAAGAUAUUUAAUACACUGCAGUUUAUAAACAAUCUGCACAUGCCUCCUUCUGAUGUUCUGCAAUUCUAAACUAAAAUCUCCUUCAGAAUCUGAAGUAUCCAACAAAUUCAAAUAAGAAAGAAUGACGAAAUCCUGUAAAGUCAAGCUAAUCGCAGGCUCAAGAAGAUUUAAAAGACAUAAAUAAACCAUAUCUCUCAGGUUGUGCAUUUACCUGAUUAAAACAGAGUCCAAUAUCUCUACUGUAAAAGUCGGCAUAUUUGAUCAUAAACACACCGCAGUCGAAUCUGCUCAUAACACAGACAAAAACCUUUUUUUAUUGAACAAUUCAUAAAGAAAAAUGGAGAAGAAUUCUUAAUUUCGCUUGUACAGUAAUAAUAGAGCUAAAUGAAAUCAAUCUUUUUGCACCAGUGACAAAACAGAGGGACAAUCAUUUAAGCUCAUACCACAUGAGCAAACCACAACAAUUAACAACAGAAAGUGAACAGCAUCCCAAAGGUAAAUGGCAGAAAAGACUAAUCAGGUAUCCUGUGAAAGUGAUGAUGACUGCCAUUUCACACGAUCUAUAUUGCAAUAACAAAAGUCGAAAUUGGGCUAAGAAUGAAGAAGAUGACAAAGAGGAGAUUCACUAACCAAAGACAGGAUAUAGUAGGCGUUUUAACCGCCCACAUUUUAACCUCUAACCUCCCACAUUUUAACCUCAAAUUAUAAUUGGUGCUUAUAAGCAAUUUAACAGAGAGCACACAUAGAUAUGAUGUCAAAUAUCUAUCCAAAUAUCACUAGAUGCACGAGGCAAAUUUAUUUCAUAUACCUGCUGCUAUUGGUGAGGGUGGGAAGGGCCAGAAUUUUGCUAACUUUCAUACACAUAAAGGGCUAUGUAUUAGGCUAUUAGCAGUUUACAAGGAAUGUUUUCCUAGACAUAAGAUAAAUCACUAAAUGAUAUGGAUAUUAGCUUAGAACUAUUUCUCGGGUUGAAACCAUUUUGCAAGCAGAAAUUUGACCAAAAAGAAACUUCAGUACCCAUUCUCCUGUUCUGGAAGGUCCGCAACAAAUUCUUGCUGCCAGGAACUAACAUCAAUCCCUUUGCCACACUUGUCCUUGACUUCAUCUACAAUGUAUCUAGCCUGGAGAUAUAAAUAUAAAAAAACUGGCUUCAUCACCACAUAGCACUAUGAGUUAAACACCAAAACUUUUGUCUUCUUUCUUUAUGUAUCAGGAACAUUCUUUUACUUCUUUAUAAUGAAAGAAAAAAAAAAAUUUAAAUCAAUCAUAGGAACAAUUGAAGAAUUGCAGCUAACAUGUAGACAACAAUAUGGGACAUUUCGUUUUGGAUUUCUUAAACUAGUGAAAGCAAGGCCCAUUAUGACUCUGUUUGAAGACCAUAUAAGUGAGUCAACUCCUCUGACAACUUUAUCAACCCUGUAAUUGAGGACUCAAAGCACUUUAAAAAAAAAAAAAAAAAAAGCUUACCAGUACUUUAAUCACUUGACUAUCAACUCCACCAAGCGAAUCAAGAUACUGAAACUUUUCAUCCUUCUUGUUGAUGACUGCUAAGCACCAAUGGACUUCUUUGUGAAUUGGUACAAAAAUCUGAAUAAUUUAGAAACAUCAUCUAACUUUAAACUAAGCCAAGGGAUCAAAUCCAGCACUCCACAAAAACAACCUAAGGAUCUAAGGAUCCUACCUUAUCACAAUCAAAGAUACAAUAUCCAAGCUUCUUUUGGGAAGUCCAUCUCCGAACCGAUUGAUAGUUAUAUCCACCCUUUCCACUAACUAGCUGCAAUUUCAAAUGUCACCCAAAAAACUGAUUGAGGCAUAGAAGACAAAAAAAGUUCUUAAAUCUAAGGAUAACCUAUCAAAUCACAUCAUAUAUCAAACUCAUGACCUCACAAUUCUUUCAAAUGAAUAAGUUGCAAUUCUACAACAACUUCACGCAAAAAUUUUCCUAGUAAAGCAGAAAGCAUUCUCAAAAAAAAAAAAAAAACUAGAAACCAUCACAAAGUAGGUUUAGUUGAUUGAUUGAAUCCACCUAGAUCUCAGCGAAGCAUGCACCGUAUAUUUAAAAAGCAACAGGAGUCCAAUUUCUAGAAUUUCAUUAACUUGAUUUGACCAACAAAUUGGAAAUCCUUAACAUGCAGAGAAUUUGAGAAUGACAGGGCAUAUGUUACUUAGCAGUCAAUAUUUAACAUCAGCAAGAUUUCCAUCCUUAGUAUUAUAUUCACCUUACAAAAACACAAACAAUUUUUCUUUCAAGCUUAUCCAUCUUUCCACACUUCUAUGCAUGUACUAUGUAAUAGGAAAACUCAUAAUUGCAAUAGAAGUCUUCAUGCCCAGGGCCCCAGGCCUCCAAUGCUUCCCAAAAAGUGUACAGUUUAAGUUCUCCAAUCUCAUAGAUGCUAAAAAAUGCUGGUAAAAAUCUAGAAGACUGAUAUUCAAAUUCCAAACUUAGCCUUUUACUCUAAUUUUCUAUUUUGUAAGUUUUGAAGCAAAUUGCAUGAAAUGUUGACAAAUGGGUACAAUAACACAUUCAAGUCUAAGCCCUAAAAGAACCAAUACAUAUAGAAGUUAUUACAACCAAUCAACCUUUUCUUGCCUAAAUGCGGAAAAGAGAGCUCACUGACCUUUUUGAAAAAGAAAGUGUUAAAGAAAUGGCAAUUCAAGAAUUUUUUAGGCUCCCUUCUCUCCCUUUCUUUUAAAAGCUCAAGAUAUAAAUUGAUAACCUGCAAAAGAAGAAAGCCCAUUUACAGAGGGAAAAACCUUUGUCAAAUGCUUGUGCUAACUCGAUAAGAAGUCUUUUCACCAAGUUCAUGGAAGCUGACAAAAAAGCAAAGUUCACCUCAUCAUUCAACCAUGCACGUGGUCUCAAGCACUGCAAAACUUCUCCUGUUAUACUAAUAUUUGAAUUUUCAUGGGUCACCAAAAGCUUCCUCCUGUACGUAAACCACAGAAUAGAAAUAAAAUGAUAACAGCAGCAUAAAAUGGACCAAUAUGGAGCCAUUUAAAGGCAAACAAAGACAGCAUUGACUCAUACCGACUGGAAUUAGAAAGAGCACGGUUAACCUCAGUCUCUUCUUCCUCAGUAAGAGGCUUAAAAGCUUCUGCUGUCACAUCCUGCAAUCAAAUGCAAGCAAAGUAAGCAAAAAUAAAUAAAUAAAUAUACACAGCAAGAAAAUUCCAUACUUUCAUGGCUCAAAAAGAUUACCUUCUUAGCAGCUUCUUCUUUCUUCUGGGGACGCAAUAACUGUUGUAGCUGCAAUUGCUUCUCAGUAUAUUCAAUCUGAAAAUUCAACGAGUUAAUUUUAUCAUUCCUCCUCUCUGCAACAUAUAACAAUUUCUUGUGCACGCUUUCUUGUGGAACGCCCAACUCCUGACUUAACGACAAAGACGCCAGCAACUUCUAUGCACCCAUUUUAUGACAAGGGAAUCUGCCUCCUCUGGGUUUAAGGCCUUACGCUUGCAAAGAGUUCUGAGUGCCUUUACAUGAGCAUUAACCUGUCAAAGUUUGAAAGCUGCUUAGACAUGUGCCAAAGAUGUCAUACAGCAACCGGAGAAUAAAGAACAUGCAACUCAUUGUUUUCCAAGCCAAGGCAGGUAAGGGAUAAAAAUAAGCAUAUGAACCACAUUUAUGCAGCUUUCUGGCCUUCCAUACAUACUCUUUUUGACAGUGAAUGAAACCUAAUUGAGUGAAAAUGCUCAUGCUUUAUUGUAGUGAAACUAUCGAGAAGAUUAUCAAUAAAUAUCAAAAGUCUUCUUCGGAUGUGCUGUUUAAUUAACCAAGUAAAAUCUCAUGUCUUUUACAACUCUUGAGGCCAUUCAACAGAAAAAUUUAGGACAGGAAAUGCAUUUUAAAGAAUAGAAGACAAUACUGAUGGAAUUGAUAGAACAAAAUACAGUAGUGUUUGAUAGAUACCUCAGUUGAAUGCAUGUUGAACUCCUCAAGUCGCUUGAGAAAGUUAUGAGCUAGAUCAGCAGCAGGUUCAGGAGGCAGCUUCACAGAAACAUUAGAGAUUGUUUGCAAGAGGAAGACACGGUCCCCUGCCCAAGCAACCGAAUUAGGUUCUAUGUCCAUUUCCUCAUUGCCAUCUCUUUUUUCGUGUGGGCUCCUAAGCUCACCAGCAGGUUCAUACUUGUCCACGAGCUGCCAAUGAUGAUGGAGGAAUUCCCACUCCACCUCCUUUGGAAGGAAUGCUGACACCUCUGAUAACAGAAGCCAGGCACCUGGAGGUGCUGUCCACUUCUCGAUUGGCAUAGAAUGACUCAACCACAGGGAUUCAGACGCCCUUAUGAUAUUCUGGAGGGCUGUAGCAAUCUUGGGCUUGAGCCUUUUUUUCUUUCCUAAGCUUGUACAGAUCUUCUUCACCCAAGAAGUCACCUCUGCAUCACAAGUCUCUUUUAGUAUACACAAAACUCCCUCAGGACAUAACAACUCAAUUUCUCUAUCCAAAAUCCUUGACUUUCCAUUUGACUUAUCCGUGAAAGAAUGAUGAUGGGAUGUGGUAUCUGAUGGAACCUUAGAUACUCGAUCAAGAACAAGUUCUGAAAACAGGCUCUCACAUUCUUCUUGGAUGCUAGAUUCAUUGUCAGCUAUUAAAGGUGGAACAGAAUGUAGCCACUCUUUAGUUACGUUUGUAUCACAGAAUAAUCUAAAGGCCUACACAGCAAUACACAUGUCAAGAUAUGAUUGAGGAAUUACAAAUCCAGCUAAUUCAAUGUGCAGUAAAGAAAAUGCAUCUGAAACUAUUAUAGCAUCCAAGGAAGAAAAGGAUUAAUACAGCCAAUAACAACUUGGGAGAAAAGAGUGGCAGAAUAGUUUGCUUUGUAUGAGGCAUGCAGUACCAAUGGUUGCAAAAUGCUUUACCCUGGGGCUUUAUCUUUUAUCAUAUCUCAUUGGAAGGGAAAUCUAAAGAAUAAAUCACAAAAAGGUGCUUUAGGAACUGCAAAAUCAUGCACGUGAAUAUGGAUAACUGAAAAGGCAUUUCAGGCAUGUUAAUAUGACAAAUUGUAUUUGCAAAUCUAGGUAAUAGAGCAAAGUAUGCAAUUGGAUUCUUCCUAGACAACAACUUUAGAUAAGCAAAACAAAUAAAAUAAAGAUCAAUCAAAUAUAUUUUCAAGGUAAGCUAAUGAACCUCUGAAAGAGCUGAUAUUGCUGCUUUCCGUAUACUAACAAGGGGGUCAGAACAAGCCAUGCCCACGAUCUUCAGCAAUUCUCCAUCAAGAGCACCUCUUAAAAGUACUGUUAACUUGGAGAUCAGAAAAAGAGCCGCCUUCCUGACUGCAGCCUUCUCAUCCAUACACCGUUUCAGCAAGAGAUCAUUCAUCCUACAUUUCGUGCUACUCAAGCCCUCAUUCCCAAACCCCAUCACUUCCUUCAACAAUGUCCUGCUCCUAUUAUUCCCAGAGAAAAAUCCUACAACUUGAGCUAAAUUAGUUAAGGCCCUCGCUUUAAUCCCAGCGGUAACAUCUGAGCAACGCUCAAUUAAUGUCUCCAAACAAGUCAAACCCCACAAGUUCUCAACUUUAUCACCUGAAUCCAAUCCCAAGGGGUCUCUCAAUGUCGUCAUCAACAUAAGAAUUAGGUCAACGGACAGAAGCCUAAAUUGACCUUUUCCUUGGCUCAUCUUGACUACAUAAUGUGUAAAUUCAACUUGAUCCUCAAACGCCAAAACUUUAACAAUCUCCAUUAUAGAUUCCACAGCCAAAGCCCUUGGCUCAGCCUUUUCCGGGGCCUUAUGCACCAAGUACUUGGGCAAAUUGACAACUGCUUUCUUAAUCUGACUCGAAUGGUUAGCCAAUCUCAUCAUUCUAUUCACCACAAACUGCAAUCCAAAACUCCUAGCCUGUGAUUUAGGAAGAAACAUCAAAGGUGUCAAACACUUCAAAACUUCAGCUGCAGAAACUGUCUGAUCCGCAUGCUCAGCUUUAAGCACUUCAUUCAAAAUCUGAGAACUCAGCUCGCAUAACUUUUCAUAACUCCCUGAACUCCUACAAACCUCAACUGCCACAACAGGAAUCUCAGCCACUGUCUGAACCAAACUCCUCAAACUAUCCGGAAACCUAUCCAAAUGAACCAAGCCCAACACUAAUUCCAACCUCUCCAGAACACUAAAAAACACCCUCGCCUCAAUAACUCCCUCUUCACCGUCAUUUUCACUCUCUUCCACCAGUUUUCCCUUAUUUUUCCCCACCCCUAGCCUCCCUCCACCGCGCUUUUUUCUACCCCGAUUUUCACCCCCAGGACCGUCAUUAGAAACCAGAGAUGGGUUCUUGAAAGCCCAACGAAUCGACCGCAACAGUGACACAAAAGCCAUGGGAGUGAACAGAGUUAAAACAGGAGAAUUAGGGGAUAAAAGCAAAGAAAGGUAAACAUUUGAGGCUAAAAGGGAAAGAGUACUUCUUGUGGGUCCGGUAGAAUCCAUGAGGGAGGAAAUGGAACUGGUUAAUGAAGUUAAAGAGAGGUUUCUUGAAGAAAUUUCAGCAUAAAAAGAUUCAAGAUCUGUUGAAUCAUUGGUUCUGAGUGUGUAAUCCAGAAGGGUUUGAAGGUCCUUGAGAGAAAUUGCUGAAAGGGGAUUUUGGGCUUCCAGUUCUGCAAGAAUUCUGUUGAUGGAUUCUUCAUCCAUGGUUGAAUUGAUCGACUUUGGGCUCUGGAGAUUGAAGGGUUCUGCUGCUCUAUCUAUUACUGAGGUCCAUGACUCGGUCGUUCUUCAAGAUUGCAACUUUCAUCUUCAUUUCUACGCUGACGGCUUCAAAUUUUUUGGCUUUCCCGCUCUAACAUUGGGAUAAAUACUGCUCUAUACAACAUUAACAACGGCUUUUCGUAGUGUCUAAAGUACUCGAGACAGCGCUCACUUAGAGGCACGGUUUCAAGCUUCUGAGCUGCCUUUUUGUGGUCUCGAAUGUACUCUAGAAAGCGCUUAGUUACCAGCACGGUUUCAAUCUCAGGAGCGGGAGGGACAAGGGAUUUACUAGAGUCUCUUUUUACGGUACUACGCUACUUGCUGCAUGGGCUUAAAAGUUCUACUUGGAUCUAGCUUUUCCGGUGGAAAAAUAAUUUAUACCUGAAAAAUAUUUUGAUGACAAAAUUUCAUAUGCAAAAGUAUUAGAGUAAUUUAUACAGACAAUGUAUACACUAUUAUGAUUAGUUAUAUGAUAUAUCUGUAAAAUUUGAGUUUCAAAUUUAUAUUCGAAUUAUGUGUCGGACAUCCAUUGAUAAAAGUAUAUGCACUGUCAGUAUAUAGAAGAUUAAUAUAAAAUAUUAUACUCCACUUUUGUAAAGUUCCUUUGAAGAAUGAUUUAGGAAAAAAACACUGAUUAUGUAAAACAAAUAGCAUUUCAUGGCAUGCAAGAUUUACAUAUUCCUAGUUUAGGUCAAUUAGAGAGUUGCAAUGUCCAUGGCCUGAUUUCACAGCUAAACAAAUAGCACCACCGUUGAGAAUUGAUCCUUUCAACUCCGGAAAUUUUCAGAAGGAUUCGAAAAAUAUCGAGCAAUAAUGAAAACUAUUUAGCUAUAUUUUCUUUUGGUUAACUAUAUUUUCUUUUGGUUGCAGAAUGUGGAUCACAACAUGAACCAUAAGAUUACACAAAUCUAGAGUUUAUAAUCAACAACAUACAGCUUAUUAUAUGGAAUGUGAGUUUAGAACCAACAAUCUGCAACUUCUUCUCUCCAUGUUACAUUUUCUAUAUUGAGCACUUUUGUGUUUCUCAACUCAAACACACACACACACACACAAGGGCAAAAGGAAAAAGGUUGGUCUGGUAGGUAUACACCUCCUCAUUAAAUGCAAUUACCCACCUCAUUACAAAGCCUGGGAUUCGUCCUUAACACUAUAUAUACUGCUAAUAAUAUGAUUAACAUCUGUAAGUGAAUGAGAAAAACAUCUCAUAAAUAUCUCACUCUCUUUCCUUUUCCUAAAUCGUGCUUAUUCUCAUAGAGUCUUCAUUAUUUUUUACUCCAAGCCUUUGAUUUGACGAAUGAAUUAACCAGGUUCAACCAGUGUCUCUACUGGAGGAAAGCCUGAUGAGGAUACUAACGCUGGACUGCAAGACAAUGCUCCAGCUGAUUCCUAUUCACUAGCAAAUUCUCUGCCAUAACAGAGACAGCAAAGCUGCUAGAUCUUUGGCCAAACAUCCUUCCAAUUUAUUUUAUUCUGUAAUUGCUUCCACUUUAAGGGUAUAUUAAUUAAUAAUCCCCCUUAUUGUGGUUUGCAUAUUUUCAAAAUGGAAGCAGAUAUUUUGGUUGUAAACGGCUGACUGGGAUAUAAACCUUCUAGCUAGUAAUGAUACGAUAUUCCUCCCUAGUUUUUGACCAAAGCGUGCUUAACUAGGUAUGAUAUCUAUCUAGCUCGGAACUUUUCACUUAUCUUGAACAAUCGCAUCAUUAACGUUCUCUUCCUACCCAAGCAUAUAAUUUUGAGUCUUUGACGAACUUACACACAGAAAUGUCCAACAUCCCUAUAAUAUUAGGCUACAUGACAAUGAGGUUGGCUAAUACUUGUAUGCUGUAGCCAUCUUUUGGCUUCUUUUUACAAGUAUCAUGAUCCAACCUUGAAAAUAAAGCUGUACAUGCCGAUAAAAGUGACAUUGAAAUCCAAAACUGUAAUGCAAAUAAAGCUACAUGACUGACUUUUGCUAUCAACUGACUAUAUCUACUUGCCAUAUCGCCCCUAUGAGAUGAGAUAUAUGCCUUACUCGGCCGCACCUAAAAAUCAAAGUAUAUCCCUGCAAGACUCAGAAAUGAUGCAAUAUGUGUACAGUCUACAGACAGAUUAAGGAACGCAAAAAGUCCAAUAAACAUAUUGUAGAAAAUAUUGGAUUGUAUUCUUUCCUUGAUACAGCUCACCACCAGCUGGUAUAGACAAGGAAAACCAUUUAUUACACGCAUGCAUAAUACUUAAAGGAACUCAAGGAAUGUCUCGCAACAACACAAACAUAAAACAAAGCAGUCGAAACAUGACUGGAUUAAGAAAACAAAGUCUUCUGGAAAAUUCCCAUAGACCAAACUAGGUUUGGUUGCCCGAUAUCCAGGGUUAUUAAUGGUUUCUGCAUGAUAAGCUUCACAGGAAGUGUAUCAUUCUUGGAGCAUCUGCAUCUUCUGGAUUCGCAGCCUCACUGGGAUUACCGCCAUAGUCGCCGGUAGAGGGAAAAAGAGGCGGCGGCUGCUCCAUGUUAAGCUCCACAUGAUGAUCAGCAGAAGUAGUGCAGCCUCUGCCCUGACUGAACACCGAUGGCUCUGGUCCAGCUAGGUUCAGCUCAUGGCGAGGAACCCAAUAUGGUCCUCCUCUACUGGCUAACACAACCUCCAUCAAUGGAGAUGGCGGAUUGCCCCCGUGCAAAAUGGGGUACGUCGCCAGACUUGGAUGAAAAUGAGGUCUGCCAACAGAAGGAUCAGACCUUACAAAUAUAUAAUCAAUUUUCUUCAUAAUUAUAUGCUUAAUUAUAUCAAAAUACUAGUUGUAAUUACAGACAUGCAUAUAUUGAUGUACGAAUAUUUAGUAGCAGUAUCGGUUAACACUCAACAGUAGGUAUUAAAUACGUGGAAUUCACUUAAAAAAACAUGGAUUUGAAUGACGGAUCAUCCGAUAACAAGAAAAAGGUUUUUACUCAUUUGGAUAUCGAUCUCGGACAUGCAUUUAGUUAAUCAUGUAACAAGCUGGCAGAAUAUUUAACUUGCUACUAAAAACAAAAAAAGUAGAACUUACCCAAUGGGGACAAGAGCAGCAGGGGGCCUAUAGUUGACGACAUUGUUGGCAAGGCCAAUUGCAGCAUCAUUAAUAUUGCUUGCAUGGAGAGGGGUGGAGGGUGGUGCCAGCCGUGCUAGUGUCAAGGGGAAAUAGUUAUGCUGGUGGACACCGACGUCGGGGAAACCAACGUUGCUGCUAUUGCCUGCAUAUUCAUGACAUGUUCGAACAAACAUCUCGUUUUUUUUUUUUUAAGGAUUAAUAAAAUGAAAAUAAACCUUUUUUUUUUUGCCGAAAGAAGAACUUACCUCCAACUUGGAGUGCCCCUGUUGGCCUGCCAAACGUAGAAGAAUGAUAUCAAUAGUAUAUGCUAAGCGAAUUUCAUGUCUCUAUCUAUCAUGGGAAUAAAAUUCCGGGUUAAUUAUAUGUCAAUUUAUUUGCUUGGCCCUCCUUGAAAUUAUAUGUCAAUUUAGUGGAGACGCUUAGGUUCAAUUUGGCAUUGAAAUAGUUCAGAUGCAUACAGGCCUAAAAUUUGAAAAAUAUUUUGAAGAAUAAAAAAUGUUAACUUAGAAGUAAUAAGCUUGAAAAGCACUCACCCCCCCCCCCCCAAAACAAAACUCUUCACAAACUAUAUCUAACUUCAACAAGUAACAUCUCUGAGAAAAAUGAAGAAGGUAUGUAAACGAAGAUUUCAACGUCAAAUGCUUAAUUUUUGAUAGAAAGGGAAAGGAUCAAAAUCUUAAAGGCAGGAAGCUCUCAAGUAAAGUGUUCACCUGUAAACUCGUAAAGGCCAUGCAUCAUCACCGUCGUCGGGCCCUGGGCAGUGAGGAUGCCCAUGUAGACACUGAAAAAAGUUUUGGUUCUGGUAAUUGUGAUCCUGCUCCUGCUCCUGGUCCUGGUCAUGGAGAAUUCAAGUACCACAGUUAGUAAUCGCUGAAGUAUAAUGCAUAAGAUGUAUGAUUAUUAUCGUCUAGUGAUUGGCAUUUUUUUUUAACUAUCUAAGCGGGAAAUCUGAAUAGCAGAGUUGCUCACAUUCUUUCUUUGUACUAAGGGGUACAGAACCUCUACAUGGCUACUAAAGCAGCAUGGCCAUGCAACUGAAUUACUAGUAAAUUUGUCUGGCUUUAAUUAUCUGUAUAAAUUUACUCUGAAUUAACAUAGCAAGAAUUAUUAUAGUUCUAUUGUUAGCAUAUAUAAACGGAUGUUACAGUAAAAUUGCUCUUAAAUUAUGGCUAGAUCUUCUGUGUUAAUUGCCGAUAACGGCACUGCCAGUCAUCUUCACUGGAUUUGCAAUGUAUAGCAGCUACCAUUAUCAUUAAACCAUUCUAGUUUGCAGGACAAAGCACAAGCAAUAGUCCAUAGGGCGAAACCUAUCUAGUUUUUGCUUUAUAUCUGUCUUGGGUUUCAAAAAAUUUUCCCUUGCAUUCUCCUGGCCUCCGUCUGUACUGCCUAUUCUUACAAGUCACAAGCCUAAUCUAGCGGACAGCAAAUUAUUUGACGUUAAUUGUACUCUUCACCUUAGCACAACAUGAACUGAAAAAAAGAUUUAAAGACAUAUAAAUGGUAUUACCGCAUCUGCAUUGCUGGUCUCCUCAUCACUCUCUUCAGCAAUGACAUCAAGCAUAGGAUCUUCAUCAAUGGUAUCAAGCCCAGGAGCUUCCAUGCUGUACAACCAAUCGCUGGUCUCCAUCGACCUGCAGUUGGGGCAUUGCAUUGCACCCCUGGCGUUAAACUCGCAUCCAAUGCAUGCUGCAAGAGACAAACAAAAAAUUGUUAAAACAACAAGUUUAAAUCACUUGCAGGUAGAAAAAAGAAGUAGAAAUAACAAAAAAUAAAAAAUAAAAGGAGGAAGUUCGAGAUUAUGGUAAAAGUUAUGAUGCCACUAACAUGAGAUCAGGAAAAACUAGACAUGUACAGGACAUUUUUUGUUUGCUCACUCUCUUCUAAGAGGUAUUCAUGGAUUCUCAAACUUAAACGGCUUAUAUAUCACCAGUUUAAGCCGAAACAUUCUUAUGACUUUGUAAAGAGCAAAAGUUGAUAAAUAAAAUAUUUUUUUGGAGAUCAAGCAAAAUAAAUAUUUACAACAGUGUGGACUCGCCAAUUUGCCCAUUGAAUCAAUUGUACUUUUUAUUCCUUUACUUAUUUUGGUAGCUGACACCUGCUAGUUCUAGUAGAAAAGUCACAAUUGUUUGUGGACAUGAAAUUCUGGAUGGGGAAAAAGAUAUAUAAUACGGUCUGAUCUUCAACAAAUCAUAAAAGGACUCUAUUUACUCCCCAACAGAUGAAUCAUCAAAACCCUCUUUUAAAUAUGACGCAGAAAAGAAAAGAAUGCAGUACAAGUUUCGAACUCCUAUGUAUGAUAACAUAACAAAACAUACCUUUGAGCUUAAUUCUAAGUGAAAGUACCUAUCCAAGAAUUAUUCUAUAGACUAAACUAGAUUUUGUAAUGUCAGUAAAUAACUGUAAAAGCUACAUGAGGAAUUACUGAUUUAGAUGUAUGUACGACGGCGCAAAAUUGUCUUCCCCUUUUCUUGCUUUGAUGUAAAUUCAGAUUUAUAUAUGUAAACCAACUUUUUCGAUCCACUUGUAAGGUAAAUUAUACCAUUUACCAUUGAAGUUUAUUUUUUGGUUUUAACUAUACACUGGCCGGUAUGCUUAAUCUUGCCCACAAGUUCUUCGAAAAAUUGGAAAUAACCAAUUGAAGUAUUUUUUUUCCACAACAAAAAUUAAUUCAUUAGAUGAAAAAAUGGCACGAAUAUUAUCCGAGGAAUGUGGCUAAGCAUAUGAAAUUCUCUAUCCGGGGAAAAGAUAAUACAGUCAAUCAGGCAAUAAGUAUUCAUAAUAUAUGCCCCGGUAUAGAAAAAUCGUCAAAACCCUUUUUAUCUUUAAGAUGUUAUAAAGUAAAAAUAUAAAGAAAACACUUUCUAACUCCUAUAUAUAUUCGUGAUAACAUAAACCGAUAUACCCUUGGGAUUGAAUAUAAGAGAGUAUCUACCCCCAAGUUCUUUUAUUUUAUAGACUUCAUUAGUUUUUGUCAUAAGUAAUUAAAGAACUGUAAAAAUUGCACCCACAAAUCAGAGAAGAAAAUGGAAUAAAAGAUUUAUAACCAAGUAUAAUGGUGCAAAAUCGUCUCCCCUUAUCUUGCUUUCAUGUAAAUUCAGAUUCAUUUAGGUAGACGGAAUUUCUGUGUGUACUUGAGAGGUGAUCUAUGCCAUUUGACGUUGUAUUUUUUUUUCCCCCCCGCUAGAACAAGGAUAACCCAUUAAACAAAAAAAAAAUUAAAAAAAAGGUCAUAAACUCAAAUCAGACAGAAAAACACCAAAGAGAAAGGAAGCAUCCGAGAUCAAAGAAUCCUUCUAAGAGAGACAGGUACGAACACUGAAUAUAAAUCAAAGGACAAACAAAAAGAAAAGAUAGAGAGAAAGAGCGAGAUAGCUAUACGUAACUUCUAGGGUGAAAAAACUAAUAAGACCAAGACUUUGGACAAUUCAAUCUCAGGCAAUAUAUCACGUAUGGAGAUAAUCAAUAAUCAAGCAAAUGAAAAGAGCAACAUUAGGAAAUCCACUUAAAACCUACACAAAUGAAAUGUGUGGCCACAUUUCAGCUUAGCAAUGGCUCGGGAGUUAUUGUCGACCACGUCCUCCAAGCAAAUUGAACACUCUCCGAUGAAUGGAGUUUCCUGUGCAGCAGAAGAAACCUGACUUCUGGAACCCAUAACUCUUAAUCUCACAGGCACUUGUUGCUCUCACUCUACACAGUAUAUCUUAACAGAUAUUAGACCCAAUAAUAUUUGCUUGUAUAUAUAGAAGAGAUUAGCAGGUUCAUGAACUAUUUUAUUCGUUGUCAAGUAUAUCCACCUGGGCUUCGGUGUGGAAUGGCUCCUUGUCAUAAAUGAUUCUGUUAAUAUGGAAAGUAAAUAAUAAUGGUUACCAUAUUUCCAAAAAGCAAAAUCAAAUUACAAUGUACUUUUGAACUAGAGUAACAUUGGCCCUCUAAACUUUUACAUGUAACAGUUUGACCACCAAAACAUCAACUCUAACAUUUGAGACAAAAACUCCCCACCUAUUCUGCCUCUCUCCCUAACGCUAUGUAUGUUGAGCUUACAAAGGAACAUAUAGUAUAGAAGGGCGCCCUUUUUUCAUUAGUAAAAACUCAAGGGGCGAAUGUAACAUUACCCAAAAGAUACAAGAGAAAUAUGAAUUUUCUUAAAGAACUGAUGCACCCCUCUACUCGUUUUACUUAUUGAUGAUGUACUUUGUUCGGCAUUAUUCAAGUAUAUCCAAGCUGUCACUGAAAUCUUAAUUACUUGUCUUUUUGGGUGCAACCUUGCUCUAGAUUUGAUUUUGCUGACACAGAAAAUAAAUCACUAUUAAACUUGUGGACCAAAACAAUUUAUGAAAACAUAUCUGAGCAUUUAUGCAUGUCAAACAACUUUUAAGAAGCAUAACAACAUAAUGGCGUGCUGCAACAAAUGAAUUAUGAGUAUAUCAAAGCAUACAAUUUUCUUUUAUAAAACGUCAACUUUAGUUAUUUUACUACACUGCUAAAGCAUUUAGUCAAGGGUAUAUGUAUGCACACGUAACUGUGAAACCAAAAUUUUUCAUAAAGGUUAGGAUUUAAUUUGCUCGUGACUAAGGAUAUUUCUGGAGACAUUGCACUCAUAAUGAUGAGUUAUAAAGUAACAUCAAAUUAUUAUAUCUUUAAUCAAUAGUCUAAACCCUAUUUUCUAUAUUACAUGUACAGCGAGAAAUAUAAUCUUGUAACCAUUUAAUUAAGGAUUAAACGCAAUAACUUAUAAGUCAUCAACGACAACUAACCCUAACAGGGUUACACCCGCUCAAAAAUAAGUGAUAUUUGGUUUUUUUUUGCGAUUCUAAUCUAUACUUUGUAAAAGUGAUGAUUAAGCAAAAACUUUAAUGAUAAUCGAUCUUGGAUCCUAAUAAUUGUAUGUAUUGCAUGGGGAAUACCUAGGAGAGAAUUAAUAAAACCUAAAACGAGUAUUGUUUUUACUAACUGAACACUUAUUAUCCACUUUUAUUUUCUAAAAACGUAUACAAUAUAAUAAAUUUCUAAUUAGUAACUGCAGUGAAAGAAACAAUUGAAACCCUAUCUAUGUAAUGAAAGAUAUGACAAACAUAUGAGCAUUUUUUUUUAGAUUUUGUAAAGUCAAUGGUAAGGUGUUGAUCUUAUUUGGUUUUAUUUAUGUUUUAUGGAACUUAAAAGAAGUUUGCUUUUUAUGGCCUAUAGAUAUUAAUAUAACUAAAAAUGCAACAUAACUCAGCUAAUUGAUUUUCUUCAUCAUUUUAUUUGAAUUCUUCGUCAUUCUUUCUAUUAUAAAAAUAUGUACAUAUUUUUUCGAAUUCUUAAAAGAAUUUUCUAAACCAUGGACUGCAAUAUCAGCUCCAAUGCAACACUAUAUCGCAAAUUCACCUGUAUCUAAAGCUUAUUAAUUUGCUAGUUUUCUAGCUGUUAAAUACUAUCAGAAGGUUAUAAUAUGUCAAACUCCAUCCAAUUAAAAGCUUUGUAGUCCAUGAAUCAUCAGUUUUCAAUGCAUCCUAAUCCAUAGUUUGGUCUUCAUACUUUAAUAGUUAUUCUAACUUGUUGAAUAAAAUAUAUAGCGAAUAAGUUUGCUCAAAUCUGCAAGUGACUAUUUAGGGAUCAGUUAGAUGAUCUAAAAUUUUUUUUGAAACAAAAAUGUGUUACAAAUAUGAUUAUUUCAAUUGAAUGUUCGAAAUACCAAAAAAAAAAAAAUUUUUGAAUCAACACUCUUGCCCAAAAACUCAUGAGGCAUAAACUUUAAUUACAUCCACUAGAACAAAGAGGAUCCAUAUUUGAAAACAAUUUCUUUUAGUAAUAAAUAGCUUCAAAGGAAACUAUAUGCCUUGACUAGAGUAUUAAUAUAUAACUCACUUCAAAUUACAAUGACAAGGGAAUUAGACCUUUCACACAACUCAAUGAAUCACUUGGUCCGAGCAGAGCAGUAGAUGCCAUGCCAUGCCAUGCAGAUGUCUAGAUUUCUUUGUGCACUAAUUGUGCUUUAAUCCUUUCAAUUAGUAUUUUUUUGCCAUUUAUCUAUAUAUUAUUUUACUUAGGAAUAGUAGCCAGAAAUUAAAAAUUUCCAAGAGAACAAUUUCAUCGGUGAUAGAUUUUACGGACUGCAAAAGUUAGGCUGAACUUUUCCGCUCAAAAGAGCAGACCUCAAUUUUGAUAGGCCCAAGUUUCUUACCCAGGACAAUUCCAUUUCUAUAGAGUAUAAAGCCCAACCCAAAAUAAAAAAGUCCGUCUUGUCAUUGAGCCCGCGAAUUAAUCCAAAUCUGGAACUCCUGAGUCCUGAGCCUUAGUAUUCAUCUGAGACUGAGAAGGACGAAAUUGUCAAUAAACGAAAGAUUAUCCUAUUUUUGUAAAUUGAUGUUCUACUUCUUCCCCAGAACCCUCGCCCUAUAUAUUGUGGCUGCCCAAGCUUCAACCUCUCUCCCUUGUAGCAGUAACCUUUUGUCUGGAGCGAUCCGAGAGCUAGGCUUGUCCUCAUCAUCAUCAUGUUGGUCUAUCAGGAUUUAGUCACCGGUACACACACUUUUGACUUUUGUUUUUCUGGUUUUACGAAUGAAUUUGUAGUUCUAUAGAUGUGUGAUCUGAUUGAGUUGCUUUUGCUUUCUGGGCUUGGUUUUUAGUUAUGUAUAACGGGUUUUCGAUAGGGUUUUUGCAAGGUUAAUUUCUAGAUCUGUGUUAGAUUGAAUCUGUAGUUUGCUCUGUGGUGGCCUUUAGUUUUUGAGGGGUUUGAUGGUUAAUUGGAUUCUGAAUUGUUGUUACCAAUGGUUUAAUUUUUCUUUGUUUUUGCUCUUACUGAUUGUUUGUGAUUUGAUUCCUAUUAAAAAUCAAGUCUUUUUUAAAUUUCCGUGUUAAAGAUUAAGUCUCUUUCGCAUGCGCUCGGGAAUUGGAUGAUUACAUUUUCAGAACUUAUGUUUUGGUGCAAAAGGUCAGCGGAAUUGUUUGGUUGUCGCAGUUUUUAGGUGGAUAUACACGUGUUGUUACUAUUGAGAGUGGAUAUCUACCCGGUUUUUGACAUCCUCCCCCCCCCCCCCAAAACACCAGUUGCUCUUUCUGCCUAUGAACAUUUUGGAAUGGGUUGGAGAAGGCUGAUUCUGAUUUGUAACUUGGAUCGGAAGUCUGUGUGAAAUUUCUUUUGUUAUUGCAUUGAUAGAGUGGGACUAAACUUUCUCUUGGAUAUAAAAAGAGAUUUAAAAGAAGGAUUGUGCUCAUUUAAUUAAUCCGAUUUUGUACUAUUAGCUACUGCUGAUUAAUGUCCCCUGCUACUUUCUCUUACACCGGCUUUUAAGAGUAUGUUUUGAUUUGUUUUGGUGAAUCUCGUGUUUAACUCUCUUCUCGAUUCACUUCUAUGAUUGUGUAGGUGAUGAGCUUCUCUCGGACUCGUUUCCAUACAAGGAAAUUGAGAACGGGAUCCUCUGGGAAGUUGAGGGAAAGGUGAAAAUUGUUCUCUUUUCUGUUUAACUUGCUUAAUUUUGGAAAAGAUCUGAAUUUCUAUUAUGAUGAUCAUUACUUGUGCAAGCAUUAUGACUUGUCUAUUGUUCGUAUGUUGGCAACCAAUGAGUUUCUUAUUCCAGCAUCUUUUUACCUUACAUAAGAGUAUAAAUGAUUAAGAGUUUUGUAAAGUCUGAUUUGCUGCAAAUUUGUAAAUUCCAGUGGGUUGUCCAAGGAGCUGUUGAAGUAGACAUUGGUGCAAACCCUUCUGCCGAAGGUUGUGGAGAGGAUGAGGGUGUUGAUGACCAGGCUGUGAAGGUGGUGGACAUUGUUGACACAUUUAGGCUCCAGGUUUUUGUCUGAUUUUACUAUUUGGAUGAGGUUGACUAUUGCGUUUAGGGAAUAUGAAGCUAAUUUAUUACCUUGCAGGAGCAACCUCCUUUUGACAAGAAGCAAUUUGUUGCAUACAUAAAGAAGUAUAUCAAGUUGUUGACGCCAAAGAUAGAUGCAGAGAAGCAAGAGCAUUUUAAGAAGAAUAUUGAGGGCGCAACCAAGUACUUGCUCUCAAAGCUCGGUGACCUCCAAUUGUGAGUGCAACCUCCUUUAAUGCCCCCUCGUUCACUUUUCUUUCUUUUUUUUUUAUUUUUCUGCUUGUAAUUCUUUGGAAGUAUUUGAUUGUUUGAGCACACUGCAAAUUAGAGUUUUUAUACUAAAUGGUCAAGGUUCACUCAUGUUGACAGUUUUGUGGGGGAGAGCAUGGCCGAUGACAGUACCUUGGUGUUUGCUUACUACAAAGAUGGUGCCAUCGAUCCGAC